rnacentral:rRNA from 1 species
UGAACGCUGGCGGCGUGCCUAAUACAUGCAAGUCGAGCGAACAGAUAAGGAGCUUGCUCCUUUGACGUUAGCGGCGGACGGGUGAGUAACACGUGGGUAACCUACCUAUAAGACUGGGAUAACUUCGGGAAACCGGAGCUAAUACCGGAUAACAUUUGGAACCGCAUGGUUCUAAAGUGAAAGAUGGUUUUGCUAUCACUUAUAGAUGGACCCGCGCCGUAUUAGCUAGUUGGUAAGGUAACGGCUUACCAAGGCGACGAUACGUAGCCGACCUGAGAGGGUGAUCGGCCACACUGGAACUGAGACACGGUCCAGACUCCUACGGGAGGCAGCAGUAGGGAAUCUUCCGCAAUGGGCGAAAGCCUGACGGAGCAACGCCGCGUGAGUGAUGAAGGGUUUCGGCUCGUAAAACUCUGUUAUUAGGGAAGAACAAACGUGUAAGUAACUGUGCACGUCUUGACGGUACCUAAUCAGAAAGCCACGGCUAACUACGCG